rnacentral:rRNA from 1 species
GACGAACGCUGGCGGCGUGCUUAACACAUGCAAGUCGAACGAAGUGGCGCACGGGUGAGUAACUCGUAAUCAACCUGCCCUUCAUAGGGGGAAAACAGUUGGACACGACUGCUACUCCCGCAUACUGCCGGAGGGGUUUUCGUCUGAUUAGCUAGUUGGCGGGGUAACGGCCCACCAAGGCGUUGAUCGGUAGCCGGUCUGAGAGGAGGAACGGCCACAUUGGGACUGAGACACGGUCCAGACUCCUACGGGAGGCAGCAGUGGGGAAUAUUGGACAAUGGGCGAAAGCCUGAUCCAGCCAUGCCGCGUGUGUGAAGAAGGUCUUCGGAUUGUAAAGCACUUUAAGUUGGGAGGCGUUACCAACAGAAUAAGCACCGGCUAACUUCGUGCCAGCAGCCGCGGUAAUAC